ACAUUCACUACAGUACUAUCUGUUGGCUUGAUUUUAAUAUAAAACGAUACCAAUUUUAAUACUGUAAGGUCUUUUAGUAUCAAUUUUAAGUAAAAAUUACGAGGUACCAUAUAAUAACAAAUCUCAUGGUGUUGCCAGCUAUUGAAAAUUUAUUUUACCCAGAAACAAUAUAAUAUUAUGUAAAGAAAAUACUAGAAAUUGUAACUAAGUUUAUAAUAUAAGAAUUCGAUGCUGCUGGCCAUAAUUGAUAUGGGUAGAAGAUGAAUAACUUAGAUUCUGGGAAUUCUAAUUGAAUAAAUGUGUGAUUUCUUCUGUAUAUGCAUAUUAAGUUUAUUGUAUAGCUAUAAAAUACUUAGGUGUUUCCUUUAAAAAUAACCUCCAUCACAUAUUUGGCCCACAAUCAUAAUGCUCAUACUCACCCAUUUAUCUCUGCUUCAUAGGUUUCCGACAGGAGAAAAAACAUUUAGAAAAUGGAUAAACGCUACCAGACCUACAAAUUGGGAACCAAAGAAUCAUACAAAAAUUGUGUUCGGCACAUUUUGAAGAGGGUUGUUUCGCUCGGAUCAAUCAAUCAUACAAUCCACUCAGUUUGUGUACAAUAAAUAAUUAUAUUUAAAACAAAUAUAAAUAAAGUAUUAUGUAAGAAAAAA